rnacentral:rRNA from 1 species
AUACGGAGGGUGCAAGCGUUAUUCGGAAUCACUGGGCGUAAAGGACGCGUAGGCGGGUUGGCAAGUCAGAUGUGAAAUCCUACAGCUUAACUGUAGAACUGCAUUUGAAACUGCUAACCUAGAGUAUGGGAGGGGGAGAUGGAAUUAGUGGUGUAGGGGUAAAAUCCGUAUAUAUCACUAGGAAUACCGAAAGCGAAGGCGAUCUCCUGGAACAUAACUGACGCUAAGGCGUGAAAGCGUGUGGAGCAAACAGGAUUAGAUACCCUAGUAGUCC